GACAGAGGGAGCUCGACCCCCGUGCCGCGGGCGGCCCCGCCGCCCAACGCAUGAGGAAAGUCCCCCCACCGGCCGGACGGGCGACCGGGCGCAAGCCCGGAGUCGGAGACGGCUGGCGCUGGAACAGAAACGAGACCCCCUGCCCCGACCGAUGAGGCGUGCGAACCGACCCGCAAGGGAAGGGAGCUAACCCGCCGAGGGACACGCGGCGCACCGCGCCGCGGAACGCCCGAACGGCCUUGCCGUGAGGGAUAUGCGACGCCUUGCGUCGCAGACGGGCAGGAAGGGAUGGAACGGCGAAUCCUCGCCGGUGCAAGUCCGCGCCGAUAGGUAGUCCGGCCACGGCGCGGACGCUCAGCCGAAUGUCGAGCCGAACGGAAGGGGGCUUACUCCCCUCAGUC
rnacentral:RNase_P_RNA from 1 species